UGCUACCACCGUUAGCUGGCGAGUGGUAAACCGGGAAGAGGGAGUAGUGUAGCGCUGUAACUAUCAUAAUUUGCUUGUGUUAAUCAAAUAGCCUGCUCAAGUAGGUCCGCUAGUCGAUGUUUCACGAUACAAACACCUCUUUCCAUGGUGCGAUUGAAUCGUUUUACAUAGCCAACGGUGCUGCCAAUCGGUGUUUUUAUAGUUGUUGUUACUGCGGUGGCUGGUAUUGUUAACGUCAAUGGCGAUGCCAUUUUAACGGCUCAAUUGAUCUGCUUGCGUUCAUCGGACCUAGCUUGAUAACGCGCAGGAGGGGCAACCGCUGCCGUUCCUCACCAAUAUCUACGAUCCGAAGGGCAACAACGACAACAAAAUCCUCAUAUUUUCACCGAUUUUUUUUCCAUUUCUUUCUACUUGAUGAUUUUUCGUUUACUUCUCAUCAUUGAGUAGCAGUUGUAUUGUAGUGCAGAUAGCUGAUACUUGCUAAUGAUUUCGUCGACGCUUGCUAUGUAUGGGCCUUCUCAGCGGCGACAGUUCUACAAUGGCACCCUGAUGCGAUGCAUCACAGCUUCGUCUUGUAUACGCCUGCCACAGACAUCAGCGCGUCAUGCCUAGAUGAAUUUCGAAUACUUGUCGUGUUUUUGUAGUAGUUUUGUUGUUGUCAAAAUCGUGGCAAAUUGAACAAGAAAAGAUAGCGAAAGACCAGGAAGACGUGUUGUAUGGUUCGCGAUUGGCGAACGCCGAUCUGCGUUCGUCGCCUAGUCAUAUGACGCUCCAGUUUCUCCUGUCAACUUUGAUGUGGCUUUAAGACUGUCUCGUCGGGAAAGGCCAUUGCUCUCUUCAUAAAUGUUUAGUUAUCGUCCUAAAGAUCUGCCUGUAUAGCAAUCAAGCCAUCUCACCUCGUCAGUGAGGUGGCAUUUCCUCGAAGAAUAUCAGAAGUUGCCGUUCCCUCAACCGGGCUACGAAGAUGAGUUUCAAUGGCUACGCUGAACAUGGCGGUGACAAUAUUUGAUAGGCACACAUCAGCCCUUCAACGACACACCGAGCGUCGACCAGUGAGCUCCAUAAAUACUCAUUACAUGUGUACCGUACGCGUGCACCAACAAAGAUAUGUGGUCGUGCACGAGCUGGCUAGCCAUCAAGUCCGCAUUGCAGCAAGCCCGUCAUUAAUUCACAGCCGAAUCCAAAUGACUUGAUCAUGACUGUUUUUCCAUAGAAAUCGACCAACUACGCAGACGUUUAAACACUCAUCGCAACUGACUCAGCUAAUUUUGCACGCCACGCCAAGGUUUAUAUACCGCAGGCUGCAGUACCUAUUUCUUUGUUCACGCGGUAACAGUGAUCGUGUAUAUUUCUAGUAGCAGGAUAUAUUUAAUCGAUCCAAUUAUCAUGGUGGCAGCGACUGCAUCACUAUGCGACAAUAACAUGACGCGGCCUGUUUCGAUCUGCUGACAUCUGGCCGUGCUGAAUUGUUCGUGUAUUCUACAAGGUCGAAUAUGUACGCACGCACGUGGAAUACUCUGCCUUCAGAGUCAAUGCCAGACGCACGGUUCGCAGGUCAGACACACACAGAAAAACAAACAAACAAAAUGAUGUAUAACUAUGCCUAUCGAUAAUUUUAGAUAUUGAACGUUAACCGCUGCAGUGUGAUACAAUACCAAUUCUAAUAUCGUACGUUAAUGAGAAGGGAAAAUACACCGAUUUCAAUAUCUGAUCGAUUUAACUGCUUCAUUUAGUGAACCGAACCGUAGCAGUAUGCAAUUCCAAUCACCGAACAAAAAUGUGUACGGUAUAAAAAAAAAACAAAGAAAAACGCUCUAACUUUUGUGUUUAUUUAAAGGUCUACUAGUAAACCCUCAAGAUAGAUCGGUUCGAAAAGGAUAAGCCAUCAUCAUAUUGAUUAUUUUACCGGCGGUUCUUAAGACGAUAAUCUGUUCGCAGCGAUUGCCUAGAAAGGUCGUCUUGCUCAGUGCAUAAAAAUAUUAUAUAAAAAAGGUCAUGUUUUCCAUUCCAAACGCUUUUUCUCCUUGUGAUAAUAAAUAAAUACUAUAGUAUAAUAUAGCUAGCCGCCAUUAUCAUGUAUUUUCUGUUUUCAAUGUUUGUCUCGCAUCUUCUCAAUAUUUCGGUGAUAUUUUGUCAUUUCUGCCCAACAACAUCUAUGUCAUCAUCGCUGUACUAUCGCAUGUGUACACGAGUAUUACUCAUGCCCUGCGGUCAAAAAAUUGCCGAUCUUUACCAUAGACGACGAACGUUUGAGUCGCUGGCGUCAGCAACAAAACGUCAGAGCUGGUUUUGGCUGUCGCACCUAACAAGAUACAGUUUUAUUAUACCAGGCGG
rnacentral:lncRNA from 1 species